rnacentral:lncRNA from 1 species
GAAGACAAAUUCAGAAGUCUAAAGCUUGGACUAGAACUAGCAGACAAGCUUGCAAGGAAUUUGGGUAAAAUUGUAUAUGAGGAAGGGAAAUUAGGGAUUUGGACUCUUGAGAAAUUAUGGCAAUUAAAAUGAAAAAAUAAAAGAAAUAAAAAUAAUGUCUGCCCUUUUAAAAGAAAGAGCCACAUUAAUGAUAAAUCAUUCCCAAGCUUUGAAAAUAGUAUCUAUUCCCUUAGCACACGCUACCUAAACUCAGCAAUCGCCAUUUCCAUUCAACUUCUAAGAAAAGCUCAGCUAGGGCAAAGAAACCUUCCUCAAAAGUCCUACAACAUGU